AAAGACAAAAGAGCAAACGAUGUUUAUCUUAGAGGAGAUCGCUGUUUAAGAUAAGGCCAAAUGAUUGAGUUGCAUAUCCACAGGUAAGCAAAGAAGAAUUAAAUCUCCCUGACAAGUCUUGGUUUCUAUUAUUUUGUGUGCAAUUCUUGUAUGACUUUUAUAAUCGGCUGAGAUAUUGGACAAUGUACGGAUGCUAAUUACAGCUAUAUGCUUGACAAAUUUGUUGACAUUCAAAGUUUUGUAGGCUAGCUCUAAGAGGA
rnacentral:lncRNA from 1 species